AUUGAACGCUGGCGGCAUGCUUUACACAUGCAAGUCGAACGGUAACAGGCCUUCGGGUGCUGACGAGUGGCGAACGGGUGAGUAAUGCAUCGGAACGUGCCCAGAGGUGGGGGAUAACGCAGCGAAAGCUGUGCUAAUACCCCAUGUGAUCUUAGGAUGAAAGCGGGGGACCAGGCAGCAAUGUUUGGCCUCGCGCCUUUGGAGCGGCCGAUGUCAGAUUAGGUAGUUGGUGGGGUAAAGGCCUACCAAGCCGACGAUCUGUAGCUGGUCUGAGAGGACGACCAGCCACACUGGGACUGAGACACGGCCCAGACUCCUACGGGAGGCAGCAGUGGGGAAUUUUGGACAAUGGGCGCAAGCCUGAUCCAGCAAUGCCGCGUGCGGGAAGAAGGCCUUCGGGUUGUAAACCGCUUUUGUACGGAACGAAAAGGCUCUGGCUAAUACCUGGGGCUGAUGACGGUACCGGAAGAAUAAGCACCGGCUAACUACGUG
rnacentral:rRNA from 1 species